GUCUGAUAUAACUGCCCUCCACAGAUCUCCCUCAGUCACGACGGCCACUCCCAGUCUCUUCCUUUGCUUCUAGAAUCGUAGAACCUUUCCACAAUGACACUUUUAGAAUGUGUGUUCCUCCUGACUCUCAUCUCAGCUGUUCAGGGGCAGUCACUCACCUCCUCUGAGCCAGUGGUGAAGAAACCUAGAGAGUCAGUAACACUGUCCUGUGCUGUCUCUGGUCUUUCUCUAAGCUAUCUGCAUUGGAUCCGUCAGAAACCAGGGAAAGGACUUGAGUGGAUUGGUGGCACUGGCACUGUAUUUGCCCAGUCUCUCCAGGGCCAGUUCACCAUCACCAAAGACAGCUCAAAAAACCAGCUGUACUUAGAGGUGAAAAGCCUGAAGAUUGAAGACUCUGCUGUUUAUUAUUGUGCCAGAGACACAGUGACACAGGAAGCUGAAGCGCCAUACAAAAACUGAUCAACAGUGAUCCCA